ensembl:lncRNA
GCCACUCUGAGCCGAUUGCCAGCAUCUGCUCAGGGGAAGAUAAUGGCAGAACUUGCAGGUUCUGGAGGAAGCUGGGAACAAUGAAAUAGGGCUUGGAGUUCUUCCCCAAUAACUGGACCCUGACAUAAGACAACACUGAGUGAAUGUCUAUUAAAUGCAAAUGAAGACAGAGGCAAUUAUCUGAGGAACACCACAUUGAUGGUCACCACUCAACCACACCUACAUAGUAUGAUGAGCUCUCAAUCACCCCUCACUUGGUCCAAUGACCAUGUCAUAUGAUCCCAGUAGCUUCAUUGACAGUGAUGAUUUGCAGUCCCAUAUCAUUUGUGAGAAAUAUUGGCUCUGAGUGGCUGGAGGAAAUUUACUUAAGGUUUCCAUGGUCCUUUAGAGAAGCAAGAAAUGACCCAGAAUUUGUGUUUUGAGAUACUUUAUUGGCUACCUGGAAGUAGAAUCAGUCACUGACCUACAGAUCCAAAAUUCCUGAUGUGAAAAGAAAUAAGAAAAUGGCCCACAAAACUCUAAAAAUAAUAAACAUUUUCA